rnacentral:rRNA from 1 species
GAUGAACGCUAGCGGCGUGGAUAAGGCAUGCAAGUCGAACGGAAAGGCCCUGCUUUUGUGGGGUGCUCGAGUGGCGAACGGGUGAGUAACACGUGAGUAACCUGCCCUUGACUUUGGGAUAACUUCAGGAAACUGGGGCUAAUACCGGAUAGGAGCUCCUGCUGCAUGGUGGGGGUUGGAAAGUUUCGGCGGUUGGGGAUGGACGCGCGGCUUAUCAGCUUGUUGGUGGGGUAGUGGCUUACCAAGGCUUUGACGGGUAGCCGGCCUGAGAGGGUGACAGGCCACAUUGGGACUGGGAUACGGCCCAGACUCCUACGGGAGGCAGCAGUGGGGAAUAUUGCACAAUGGGCGGAAGCCCGAUGCAGCAACGCCGCGUGCGGGAUGACGGCCUUCGGGUUGUAAACCGCUUUCGCCUGUGACGAAGCGUGAGUGACGGUAAUGGGCAAAGAAGCACCGGCUAACUACGUGCCAGCAGCCGCCGUAA